GUCCAGAAUGUGAGUAGCCACCCCACCCCACCCCCGCCGCCAGUGAUCCAGCUCCCUCUGCAUCCUUCCAGACCGCUCCACCCCUCGCACACCCUUUGUCCUGGCGUUUCCAGUUUGGGUCGCCCCUCUCUCCUCCUUCGCUGACGUCUUCCUCUUUCCACUUCCCCUUCUCCGAAGACAGACCUUUGCCCUUCUGACAUUUGGUCUGCUCUAGUCCGAAUGCGGCGGACGACUGUAGUCUUCUCCCGCCUCGGCCUGGCCCGCUGGGCUCCGUCCGACUAGGACUGGUGGGGCGGCCGACGACGGGGGGAUCAGCCCCGAGGACCUGCCCCCAUCGAUGCCACCCACCUUCCCUAACUCACCCGUAGGCAACCCCAUUCUCCCUACCCUCUGAUUCCUCCUGGUUCCAGCAUGAGAAAGUCCCCUUCGACAGCCCUCAAGUUGCGUGGGUGCCCGAGCGAGGGAGAGGGGGACAAAGGGAGACCUUGUCUCGGGAGAUUCCUGGGAGAGGACGCCUGAGCUCGCAGUGGAUGAGGCGGUGCAUCGAUGGGGGUGGGAGGAAGCUGGGAGGGGCAAACCCAGCUGUUGUCGCCCCCCAAACCACCCUGAGGCCCACUGGAGCAGAGGCGAGUCGCAGAGGAAGUAUUUUGACCACAGUGAGUCAGAAAUAGAUCCAGUCCGCCAUCACCCAGUCAGUCGCAACAUCCUCCCCUGUUUGGGUGCUGGGAAGUGGAACCUAUGUUAAAGACUGUCGUCGUCCCCCCCCCCCCCCACCUCAGGAGGCAAUCACGAGUGAUAAGGAAAACUUUGGCCCUGUCAUAAGACACACCCUACACCCAGCAUGGCACUGAGGCCAUCCAGGGGCACCCAGCACAGGGAGGCUGUGGGGUGAGAUGGGGCAGUAGGUGUGCCCAGCAGCAGGAGUUGCAAGUAUUAGGGUCUGUCCCUGUCUGCACAGCAAGGAAAGCUCUCCUCCUGGGCAGCCUGCCCGCUCCACGUCUGAGAAAUUCCCACAAGCCCUGCUUCUAGGGCCUCCAGAAGGCAGGUAAGAAUUCCUGCCGCUUCUGUCCCCUGGGCCUCAGAGAUGGAGCAAGGCUUGGAGGUCCCUGGACAGGAAGGCUGAGCUGGGGACUCUCUGGCUUCCUGUGUGCCCUCUGUGUCCAGGAUUGCUGAUGUUUCAUUUCCAAAUUUGGCAGAUUUCACUUGGAGUGGAAGGGCUAGUGGCUGUCUCUGGAACAGAUCGGGAGCGGGCUGGAGAGAGGAGUAGAGCCAGACAGGGAUGGACCCAAAGCUCCAGCCUACUUUCUUCUCCUCCCUUUCCUUUCCCUUCCUCCUUUUUUCAGCCUCCUCCCCUUCUCUUCCCUCCUUCUCUCCAGCUGCCACGUGCCUCUGCCUAGCUGCUCCCCUCCCUGGGAGCCCCAAGAGCCUGCAUGGCCUCACCCACCUCCACCAACCCAGCACAUGCCCAUUUUGAGAGCUUCCUGCAGGCCCAGCUGUGCCAGGAUGUGCUGAGCAGCUUCCAGGGGCUAUGCAGGGCCCUGGAGCUGGAGCCUGGUGGGGGUCUGUCCCAAUACCACAAGAUCAAGGCCCAGCUCAACUACUGGAGUGCCAAGACGCUGUGGGCCAAGCUGGACAAGAGAGCAGGGCAGCCUGUCUACCAGCAGGGCCGGGCCUGCGCCAGCACCAAGUGCCUGGUGGUGGGUGCUGGCCCUUGUGGGCUGCGGGCUGCUGUGGAACUGGCACUGCUGGGGGCACGUGUGGUGCUGGUGGAAAAGCGCACCAAGUUCUCUCGCCACAACGUGCUCCACCUCUGGCCCUUCACCAUCCAUGACCUUCGGGCACUCGGCGCCAAGAAGUUCUAUGGGCGCUUCUGCACAGGCACCCUGGAUCACAUCAGCAUCCGGCAGCUUCAGCUGCUUUUGUUGAAAGUGGCAUUACUGCUGGGGGUGGAAAUUCACUGGGGUGUCACUUUCACUGGCCUCCAGCCCCCUCCCAAAAAGGGGAGUGGCUGGCGUGCCCAGCUCCAGCCCAACCCCUCAGCCCAGCUGGCCAACUAUGAAUUUGAUGUCCUCAUCUCUGCUGCUGGAGGUAAAUUUGUCCCUGAAGGCUUCACAGUGCGAGAAAUGCGCGGCAAACUGGCCAUAGGCAUCACAGCCAACUUUGUGAACAGGCGCACCGUGGAGGAGACACAGGUGCCUGAGAUCAGCGGUGUGGCCAGGAUCUAUAACCAGAGCUUCUUCCAGAGCCUGCUCAAAGCCACAGGCAUUGAUCUGGAGAACAUUGUCUACUACAAGGAUGACACUCACUACUUCGUGAUGACAGCCAAGAAGCAGUGCCUGCUGCGGCUGGGGGUGCUGCGUCAGGACUGGCCGGAGACCGACCGGCUGCUGGGCCGUGCCAACGUGGUGCCUGAGGCUCUGCAGCGCUUUGCUCGGGCAGCUGCUGACUUCGCCACCCAUGGCAAGCUCGGGAAGCUGGAGUUUGCCUUGGACGCCCACGGGCGGCCUGAUGUUGCUGCCUUUGACUUCACGAGCAUGAUGCGGGCAGAGAGCUCUGCUCGAGUGCAGGAGAAGCAUGGCGCCCGCCUGCUGCUGGGGCUGGUGGGGGACUGCCUGGUGGAGCCCUUCUGGCCCCUGGGCACAGGAGUGGCUCGGGGCUUCUUGGCAGCCUUUGAUGCAGCCUGGAUGGUGAAGCGGUGGGCAGAGGGCGCCGGGCCCCUACAGGUGUUGGCAGAGCGUGAGAGCCUGUACCAGCUCCUGUCACAGACAUCCCCAGAAAACAUGCACCGGAACGUGGCCCAGUAUGGGCUGGACCCAGCCACCCGCUACCCCAACCUGAACCUCCAGGCUGUGACCCCCAAUCAGGUACAAGACCUGUAUGACGUGGUGGCCAAGGAGCCUGUGCAGAGGAAGAGUGACAAGACAGAUGCAGGAAAGCCGGUGACUGGGUCGGCGGGCACCCAGGAGGAGCUGCUACGCUGGUGCCAGGAGCAGACAGCUGGGUACCCUGGUGUCCAUGUCACCGACCUGUCUUCCUCCUGGGCUGAUGGGUUAGCUCUGUGUGCUCUGGUGCACCGGCUGCGGCCUGGCCUACUGGAACCCUCAGAGCUGCAGGGGAUGGGGGCUCUGGAAGCAACUGCUUGGGCACUGAAGAUGGCAGAGCAUGAGCUGGGCAUCACGCCAGUGUUGUCCGCACAGGCAGUCGUGGCAGGAAGUGACCCACUGGGCCUCAUUGCCUACCUCAGCCACUUCCACAGUGCCUUUAAGAGCACCCACAACCCAGGCCCUGUCAGCCAAGGCUCUCCAGGGACCUCCAGUGCUAUACUAUUCCUUGGCAAACUGCAAAGGACCCUGCAACGGACACGGGCCCAGGAAAAUGAGAAGGAUGUUGGUGGCAAGAAGCGUCGCCUGGAGGUAGAGGCUGCGACCCCAAGUACGGAGGAGCCACCUGUCCCAGAGCCUGGUGUACCCCUGACACCCCCAUCGCAACACCAGGAGGCCGGUGCUGGGGACGUGUGUGCACUUUGUGGGGAACACCUCUAUAUCCUGGAACGCCUCUGCGUCGAUGGCCGUUUCUUCCACCGGAGCUGCUUCCACUGCCAUAGGUGUGAGGCCACAUUGAGGCUGGGUGACUAUGGGCAGCACCCAGGGGAUGGACAUUUCUACUGCCUCCAGCACCUGCCCCAGCCAGGCCACAAAGAGGAUAGCAGUGACAGAGGCCCUGAGAAUCAGGAGCUCCCUACACCGGAUGAGAAUAGCAUGCCAUCAAGCCCGGCUCCCAUGGCCACCCAGGAGGAGGCCAGUCCUGUCCCAAGCCCCAGCCAGCCCACCCGUCGGCGGCUCCGCCUCUCCAGCCCAGAACGCCAGCGGCUAUCCUCCCUCAACCUGACCCCUGACCCAGACAUGGAGCCUCCACCCAAGCCCCCCCGCAGCUGCUCUGCCUUGGCCCACCAGGCCCUGGAGGGCAGCUUUAGGGGCUGGGGAGUGCCAGUCGAGAGCCCUCAAGGCCAUGUCUGCUGCUCCUCUGCUCAGUUCUUGUGGCCAUGGAGAAGGAGGAAGAGAGUUCCUCCUCCAGUGAAGCGGAAGAGGAGGAAGAGGAAGCUGUGGCCUUGGAGUCAGGCGUGGAAAAGACUCUGCGGACCCUUGCCGAGAAAUCAGGCACCAUGGACAAGUACCCAACAUGGCGCCGGACUCUGCUGCGCCGUGCUAAGGAGGAGGAGAUGAAGAGGUUCUGCAAGGCCCAGGCCAUCCAGCUGCGACUAAAUGAGAUCGAGGUUGAUCUGAGGGAGCUAGAGGCCCUGGGCAUGAAGCUGGAGCUGGCCUUGAGGAGCCAGAGCAGUUCCCCAGAACAGGAAAAGGCACUAUGGCUAGAUCAGCUGCUACAGCUCGUUCAGAAGAAAAACAGCCUCGUGGCUGAAGAGGCCGAGCUCAUGAUCACGGUGCAAGAGCUGCACCUGGAGGAGAAACAGUGGCAGCUGGACCAGGAGCUACGAGGCUACAUGAACAGGGAAGAAGACCUAAAGACAGCUGCCGAUCGGCAGGCUGAAGACCAGGUCCUGAAGAAGCUGGUGGACGUGGUGAACCAGCGGGAUGCCCUCAUCCGCUUCCAGGAGGAGCGCAGGCUCUGCGAGCUGGCCUCGGGGCUUGGGGCCCAGGGCUAGAAGAGGGUGGGCUGCCUGCCUUCUUCCAUACAAGGGAGAUCACCUCACGCCAGGGCAGUGCCGCCCUGCUCGUCUGGACUGCCUGGGAGAGGGCCUCACUGCUUAUAAUAAAAAUGAUUCUGCCACAAA